UACGGGGGGGGCAAGCGUUGUUCGGAAUUACUGGGCGUAAAGGGCUCGUAGGCGGCCAACUAAGUCGGAUGUGAAAUCCCCAGGCUUAACCUGGGAACUGCAUCCGAUACUGGAUGGCUUGAAUCCGGGAGAGGGAUGCGGAAUUCCAGGUGUAGCGGUGAAAUGCGUAGAUAUCUGGAGGAACACCGGUGGCGAAGGCGGCAUCCUGGACCGAUAUUGACGCUGAGGCGCGAAAGCCAGGGGAGCAAACGGG
rnacentral:rRNA from 1 species